rnacentral:sRNA from 1 species
AUGGGUUCAAGCAGUUCUGCCUCAUCCUCCCAAAGUAUUGGGAUUACAGGCAUGAGCUGUGACACAUGGUGCUGUACCCACUUUUUGUUAAUGAUAUUUAUAGAGGCUAUAGCACCUCAGAAAGCCCUGGAAUAGUCUGGGAAGCCAACCCUAAGAAAGUGGUGCAGGAGCUGGUCCUUCACUUAGAGAAGUUUGGACAGGAAGGAGGACUUUCCAGGUUUGGUGGUCAAAGCCUGGGCAGCUGGUGUAGCUGUGGCAUCUUGUGUAAGUGUGGGCCAGCUGGUGAGUCAGCAUGUCACACUAGACCUCCAGACAGCCCUGCCAAGGGAGUCAACUGAGGCUCAGGGGUGACACAGCUGGUUUGCAGUCACACAUAAGAGCCAGAAUGAGUGUGGACCAGCCCUGCUCACAGGCCAAAGUGGGGCCCAUGGGGGUGGGCCUGUUGCUGGGAACCCCUCCCCAGGAGGUGUGACCCUUCCCCAUCUCUGCCCAGGCUGCAUCACUGUGACCAGUGCCGAGGAUGGCGGGGCCGAGACCACACGGUACCUGAUCCUGCAGGGCCCAGAUGAUGGUAAGACCCCAGGCGCCAGAAUCAGGGAGGCCUGCAGUGGGCAGGGGGAUAGGUGAGGACAGACUCUGCUGCGGAUUCCCUCUGUGGCCCUGGCAGGGUAUCCACUGCUCUGGGUCUCAGUAUUUCCACUGACAGGGUGGCCUCUGGUGGGGAAUUUGGUUCUGCACUCCCUGGGCCUGCCUGGGAGGGGUAGCUAUAGCUCAUGGCCAGUGCUGCCCUCCAUUUAACCGCCCUCCAAUUGCCUCACCCAUCCCCAGGAGCCCCGAUGACAUCACCAAUGUCCAGUUCCACCUUGGCCCACAGCCUAGCAGCCAUUGAGGCCCUGGCAGAUGGCCCCACAUCCACAUCCACAUGCCUGGAGCCACCUGAGGAGGAGGCACAGGGUCGGCCCAGCUCCCCAGUGCAGCUGCCCCCAGCCUCUGGUGCCGAAGAACCAGACCUGCAGAGCCUGGAGGCCAUGAUGGAGGUGGUGGUGGUGCAGCAGUUCAAGUGCAAGAUGUGCCAGUACCGGAGCAGCACCAAGGCCACACUGCUGCGCCACAUGCGGGAGCGCCACUUCCGUCCAGUAGCAGCAGCCGCAGCAGCAGCUGGUAAAAAAGGACGUCUACGGAAGUGGAGCACCUCCACCAAGACCCAAGAGGAAGAAGGACAAGAGGAGGAGGACGAUGACGACAUUGUAGACGCUGGAGCCAUUGAUGACCUGGAGGGUAGGCCAUCAUGGUUUCUAGGCCUGCCAUCUCUACGCCCAUCUAGACAUACUCACUGAGCUUUCACUUGGAGGGCCAGUAAAGAGGAAUUGGCACAGACACAUCCACAGGUCCCUCCAGUAUAAGACAGAGGAGGUUGUGCUCUGGCACCAGGACCUUUGUAUGCAGUUGUGCAGGCUGCACACUGGAAAAGAGCACAGGGGGCCCUGUUCACAUUUGCCCCACAGAAAUAGAAUACAAGUAAAGGUGCAAGAGGAGGUCCUCGCCCUGUUGCUCAGACUGGAGUGUAGCUUCAUGAUCGUUGCUCACUGUUACCUUGAAUUCCUGAGUUCAAGCCAUCUUCCCAUCUCAGCCUCCCGAGUAGCUAGGGCUAUAGGUGCCUGCCAGCAUGCCUGGCUAAUUUUUUAAUUUUUGUAGAAACGGGGUCUCCCAGCCUGGACAACAUGGCGAAACCCCAUCUCUAUGAAAAAUACAAAAAUUAGCCCGUUGUGGUAUGUGUCUGUAGUCUCAGCUACUUGGGAGGAUCACUUGAACCCAGAAGGUCAAGGCUGCAGUGAACUGUAAUUGUGCCACUGCACUCCAGCCUGGAUGACAGAGCGAGACCCUGUCUCAAAAAAAAAAAAA